CUCCGCGUAGCGCAGUUGGUAGCGCACGUGCUUUGGGAGCAUGGGGUCGGGAGUUCGAGCCUCUCCGCGGAGACCA
rnacentral:tRNA from 1 species